GCAUGGGUGGCUUAGUUGGUUAAGCAUCUGACUUCAGCUCAGGUCUUGAUCUCAUGGUUCGUGGGGUCAAGCCCCACGUCAUACU
rnacentral:tRNA from 1 species